GUAGGUGGCAAGCGUUGUCCGGAAUUAUUGGGCGUAAAGCGCGCGCAGGCGGUUCUUUAAGUCUGAUGUGAAAGCCCACGGCUCAACCGUGGAGGGUUCAUUGGAAACUGGAGGAACUUGAGUACAGAAGAGGAAAGCGGAAUUCCACGUGUAGCGGUGAAAUGCGUAGAGAUGUGGAGGAACACCAGUGGCGAAGGCGGCUUUCUGGUCCGUAACUGACGCUGAGGCGCGAAAGCGUGGGGAGCAAACAGGGAUUAGAUACCCUGGUAGUCCACGCCGUAAACGAUGAGUGCUAAGUGUUAGGGGGGUUUCCGCCCCCUUAGUGCUGCAGCUAACGCAUUAAGCACUCCGCCUGGGGAGUACGGCCGCAAGGCUG
rnacentral:rRNA from 1 species